rnacentral:rRNA from 1 species
CCCUUAGAUGUUCUGGGCUGCACGCGCGCUACACUGAUGCAUCCAACGAGUUUUUGACCUGAGCCGAUAGGCCUAGGUAAUCUUGUGAGUAUGCAUCGUGAUGGGGAUAGAUUAUUGCAAUUAUUAAUCUUCAACGAGGAAUGCCUAGUAGGCGCGAGUCAACAGCUCGUGCCGAUUACGUCCCUGCCCUUUGUACACACCGCCCGUCGCUCCUACCGAUUGAGUGGUCCGGUGAAAUCUUGGGAUUUUGUUUUGUUUGCAUUUAUUUGUAUCGAGACGAGAGAACUUGAGUAAACCUUACCAUUUAGAGGAAGGUGAAGUCGUAACA